rnacentral:rRNA from 1 species
GUAGGGUGCGAGCGUUAAUCGGAAUUACUGGGCGUAAAGCGUGCGCAGGCGGUUAUGUAAGACAGAUGUGAAAUCCCCGGGCUCAACCUGGGAACUGCAUUUGUGACUGCAUGGCUAGAGUACGGUAGAGGGGGAUGGAAUUCCGCGUGUAGCAGUGAAAUGCGUAGAUAUGCGGAGGAACACCGAUGGCGAAGGCAAUCCCCUGGACCUGUACUGACGCUCAUGCACGAAAGCGUGGGGAGCAAAC